UGGGGAAUUUUGGACAAUGGGGGAAACCCUGAUCCAGCCAUCCCGCGUGUGCGAUGAAGGCCUUCGGGUUGUAAAGCACUUUUGGCAGGAAAGAAACGUCAUGGGUUAAUACCCCGUGAAACUGACGGUACGUGCAGAAUAAGCACCGGCUAACUACGUGCCAGCAGCCGCGGUAAUACGUAGGGUGCAAGCGUUAAUCGGAAUUACUGGGCGUAAAGCGUGCGCAGGCGGUUCGGAAAGAAAGAUGUGAAAUCCCAGAGCUCAACUUUGGAACUGCAUUUUUAACUACCGGGCUAGAGUGUGUCAGAGGGAGGUGGAAUUCCGCGUGUAGCAGUGAAAUGCGUAGAUAAGCGGAGGAACACCGAUGGCGAAGGCAGCCUCCUGGGAUAAAACUGACGCUCAUGCACGAAAGCGUGGGGAGCAAACAGG
rnacentral:rRNA from 1 species